GCCAAUGGCACUGCCCGGUAGCUAAAUGCGGAAGAGAUAAGUGCUGAAAGCAUCUAAGCACGAAACUUGCCCCGAGAUGAGUUCUCCCUGAGACUUUAAGUCUCCUGAAGGAACGUUGAAGACGACGACGUUGAUAGGCCGGGUGUGUAAGCGCAGCGAUGCGUUGAGCUAACCGGUACUAAUGAACCGUGAGGCUUAACCUUACAACGCCGA
rnacentral:rRNA from 1 species